AUGUCCAUGGGUAUCGAAACAUUCUAUCAUCUUCAGCCUCUUUGUCAAGCAAAUUCUUACUCCGGCCCAGUUGAUGGCGAUAGUGUUCCAUUAGUUGUUUACCCACUACCACGAAACACUAGGAAGUUGGCAACGGUAGCAUCAUCUGUUACCAACGUUCAUGAACCUAUGGAUAAGAGAGAGUGGCUUCAAAAAGUCACAGGUUUUCAGGCAUGCUGUCGAGGAUACUUGGUGCGAAAGACCAUUAAAUGUGCUCGAGACGAAUACGAAGAUAUUGCAAAAGAGAUAGAGGGAGAUCUAAAUGACUUGCAUUGGAGAGGGGCUGUAAUUCAGAUCCCUGCUUUCUCUGAAGUGAACAUCUCGUUUUGGGGGCAUGAUAGACAUGUCAAAGUCCGCUCUUACACGCAACCUGACCGUGAAGCGGCGGAUGAACGCAAACCCACUCACAUUGAGGUGAUUGUGCCGGAGAGAGACACUGUCCCCAGUGACAGCACAGAAGGAGUCUCCAGCCUGCUGGAGAAGGAGACAUCCAGCCUGUUGGUGAAGGAGACAUCCAGCCUGUCAGACCGAGGAGGAGAGAGUGAACCAUGCCAGGGAGAGGCAAGGGAGCAGGGACACACGAAAAGCAUUGAAGACACCACUGCCGCUUUGAGUCGAUUAGGAUUGGAUCCAAGCAUUUUAGAGAGAAGUGAGUACUGUGAUGUAGACCACAUUCAUGUGCACAGGUGAUCAACUAGAGCUCACAUGUGCUGUAGCCCUGGUAAUCAGGAGGAGCAUGGUGUACGCUCAGCAGUGAACUGAUUAAAUAUUUGCAAUAAUUGAACUACAAGCUCCUCUUGAUGUUAAUGGUUCCGUAUGAUAUUAAACACUGAUAAACACACUCUUUGUUAGGCUCUCUUCGGCGCUCCCUGGACAAAGACCCUCCUCGGACACGUGAGGAGGCACGAAUGCUCCGCAACAAACUUGCCAUGGAGCUGCUGUGGAUCCAGCAGGCCAUCGCCAGCCGCAAGAAAGUGAGGGCUCUGACGAGUGAUGCUGUUUACCUCUCCAUUCUUUCAGAAGUACUCCUCAGAGAAAACAAUGGUGGAGGCUUCUCACUUACACGUAAUGGCCCUAAGCCUGUGUAAGCCUGAGACUUUUUUCCCCACAGUAUUUAGACAUAAAGGAUGGUAGCAGCAGGCUGGAUCAAGGGGCCUGUCUAGUAGGCUACUGGUUAGAAUAGAAUAGAAGAAAUAGAAAUGCCUUCAUUGCCAUUUUAUUUGCAUACAACGAAAGUUGGAGGAGAGCAAGGAGCCGCUGCGUCCGUGCGCACCGCCAUCUUGGUCCAGACACUUGGUUUUCUGUCAUACAGGGGUGGUUCACUCUUUCCUACUCACUUGUUGUCAUAGCAACGUGUGCUUUACGCCUAAUCUGCUGCAUGGCAGGAACCAGCUAAAAGUCUGCUGCAACAAAAAUAUAAUUUUUGUAGUGCAUUAUUUUUAAUUUGUGGACAAUCAUCAGAUCUUGAUGGAAUACUAAGUGUUUCGGGUUAGGCUUUAUAUUUAGUCAUAUCUGCAUUGAUGACCUCCUCAAAAUACUAUGUUUUUCCGUUAGGGAAUAAUGAUAACACAUAGCUGUAUCUACUGCAAGCCAUAUUGUUACUUUUUCUACCUUUGCAGUACUUGACCCUGAGGAACAACCUGGAGGACGGAACACGGCAAUCGAGUGCAGCUGCUUCAAGAUGAGGGACACAAGCUCUGAGAAAGUCCUGUAGUCAGUGAGGGAUUGACACAAAAUCAUAACUUGGAUGACGACAUUUGUAUAAUUUAAAUGAACUGAAAAUAUGUGAUUUGUGAAAAGUUGUGCUUUCUUUGCCCAUGAAUAGUGUUUGUAUAUAGAGUGUAUAUUUUGUUUACAUAAUAGAAUUUGUACUUUAAUAAAAUAAUUAUGUUUACAUAUAACUGUUUAUCU
rnacentral:lncRNA from 1 species